GUAAGCAGCGAGACGUGCGGGUACCUUUAAUAACUUGCUAAUUCUCUUAUUGUUUGAUUGUAAUGCUUUUUGCUAACUUUGGUUUAAAGAAUGAGUUAAUUCAGCCCAUCUUUUUGUCUGGCCUUUUCGCAGCAUAUAUUCACUCUGGAGUAACCUUACCAGGAGACAGACGGAGAUUUGGAGUUCGUUCAAAGAUAUUUACGAGGAACAAAGACCUUGAAAGCAAAAGUUCCAUCUAAAACCACAGGGCAAAUGGCAAAUGUGAACCCAAGUUGCCACUCUUCUUUGCAAAGUGAAGGAUUUUCAGCAGAAUUUCUGAAAUCAGCGGCAGAAACGCAGGAAGCUGGAAUGUGCGACUUUAUUCUGUGCUGCUGUCUCCGCUGGUUUCAAAACUCAAAGAGGUGCGUAUACUAGCUGUAUAUUGUCUUUUCCCACUUGAUUUGCAGUUCGCAACAACACAAGCUUGUUUCUGCAAAGACGUUUGUUAUGUUUUCCACAAAAACGUCUGACGUGUUUACGUUUUACGUGGCAUGAAAACGUGAAAAAGCAUAAAUCCGAUUUGAAUAGGAUUCCAAACCACAUACGAAUGUAGCUCGAAACGGAUUUGACCAAAUCAGAUUUCAUGUAGUUUGUUGCUGUUCAGACUACCUAAAUAUGAUCGGAUUUCAAUCGGAUUUGCAUACAAAUCGGAUAUGGGCUGACAGUCUGAACGA